rnacentral:lncRNA from 1 species
UCUUUCUUAAAGGAUAAAAUUGUAAAAACAAUAGUAAUUACAAACAUAUUUAAUACAAAUAUUCACUAUCUUAAUUCCCGUUAUUUUUUCAAAAAGGCCUUAUAAUUAGGGACGGAGGUAGUAUUUUCUAAUUGAAGGGUUCCACAAAAUAGCACGACAUCUAACAAGGGUGAAACAAAGGAGGCCGUCGCAAGAGCAAAUUUCGGAUCUAGGACCGAAAACUAGAGGACUAUUGAGUUGAGUCGUCUGUGGGACACCAGAGUUGAAUACAGAGAGAAUUGGAG